rnacentral:rRNA from 1 species
AGUGAACGCUGGCGGUAGGCCUAACACAUGCAAGUCGAACGGCAGCACAGUAAGAGCUUGCUCUUACGGGUGGCGAGUGGCGGACGGGUGAGGAAUACAUCGGAAUCUACUUUUUCGUGGGGGAUAACGUAGGGAAACUUACGCUAAUACCGCAUACGACCUACGGGUGAAAGCAGGGGAUCUUCGGACCUUGCGCGAUUGAAUGAGCCGAUGUCGGAUUAGCUAGUUGGCGGGGUAAAGGCCCACCAAGGCGACGAUCCGUAGCUGGUCUGAGAGGAUGAUCAGCCACACUGGAACUGAGACACGGUCCAGACUCCUAAGGGAGGCAGCAGUGGGGAAUAUUGGACAAUGGGCGCAAGCCUGAUCCAGCCAUACCGCGUGGGUGAAGAAGGCCUUCGGGUUGGAAAGCCCUUUUGUUGGGAAAGAAAAGCAGCAGGUUAAUACCCCGCUGUUCUGACGGUACCCAAAGAAUAAGCACCGGCUAACUUCGUG